rnacentral:rRNA from 1 species
UACGUAGGCGGCUAGCGUUGUUCGGAAUUACUGGGCGUAAAGCGCACGUAGGCGGCUCUGUAAGUUGGGGGUGAAAUCCCGAGGCUCAACCUAGGAAUUGCCUUCAAGACUGCAGGGCUUGAGUUCGGGAGAGGUGAGUGGAAUUCCCAGUGUAGAGGUGAAAUUCGUAGAUAUUGGGAAGAACACCAGUGGCGAAGGCGGCUCACUGGCCCGUAACUGACGCUGAGGUGAGAAAGCGUGGGGAGCAAACAGG